rnacentral:rRNA from 1 species
UACGUAGGGAGCAAGCGUUGUCCGGAAUCAUUGGGCGUAAAGCGCGCGUAGGCGGCCCUGUAAGUCCGCUGUGAAAGUCAAAGGCUCAACCUUUGAAAGCCGGUGGAUACUGCAGGGCUAGAGUCCGGGAGAGGAGAGUGGAAUUCCUGGUGUAGCGGUGAAAUGCGCAGAUAUCAGGAAGAACACCCGUGGCGAAAGCGGCUCUCUGGAACGGUACUGACGCUGAGACGCGAAAGCGUGGGGAGCGAACAGG